UCUACCAGGAAAUGUUUCUGAGCCAUAACAGAUUUAGUUGCUGUAUGCCUGUGAUAUACUCUGGGAUCUCCUCUGCUAGCUCUUGCUCCUGAUUAAUACAGAUGAUUGAUGCUUGCCUGCUUUGGGGUGCUGCAAGAUGUUAGAAUGCCUGAGAUUGUGUGAUACUUAUGAUGCUGAAGGAAAGGCCACAGUUGUCUUUACCCUGCAAUCAGUUUCAUCAAGAGGGCAGUGGAGCCUUUACUAAAUAUCCUGGAUCAUGUCAUAAGGGACGCAACACAUCAGCAAUAACAAGGUAUGAUGAUGAUAUGUCUGAGGGUUACAAAGAUUAUGGAUUCCUUGGAUAUAUUUUUUUUUCUUUCCUUCUGCGGCUUGAGUGAUGAAAGCAUGGCCCAGGUGGCCCCAGUAAGUGAAGUACUGAAACUCUGGUCCACUUGGAUUGAAGUGAACAGACAGGGAAAUAACACGAAACAAGUUUGUGUGAUGCCAGCAAGUCUCACCGCAGUGAGGCAUUCACUUAUCCUUCCCUCCUGUCUGCGUGUUCACUUCGACCACCUUGCCUGGCUUUUCAACAAGCAUUUUAUGUCCUGAUCAUUGAUCAGUGGAGAAUGCUCGAUGUGUUCAUUAUGGUUCUGCAGACAACUAUAUUGUUCCUUGGGAUGACUGUACAUCCAUCCGUUGGUAAUCAGUGGCAUGCUGAGGAUUUUCCAUUAUUGAAGAUGUUGGAGGUAGGCUACAGUAUUACAGAUUAGAUUUUGGAGUACUGCAUAGACUUUUUUGCAAAGCAAGUUUGGCAACAUUUGAUUCAAAGAGUUACUGAUUUCUAUCAAUAGUCAAAGUUGCUUUUCACUAGCUCUCUGCCAUUAGUAAAGGCUGCACUUCUUGUCCUUUAUGGAUGUAAGACUUGUUUAGAUCUUGAUUCUCUUUUUCUAUUUUAUGUCAUAUAGAUCUUCUUCUAGGCCUUUUUUUCCAUUUAUUAGAACAAACACUGAUAGGAAAAGUACAAUGUCUGUGAAUAACACUCCAUUAAGUUUAACUUACAAAGUUGAGUGAAUUAACUCAGAUUCUCACAUUUCUAAGAGCUCUGUCAAAUCCAGUGCAGAUGUUGGGGCUAAGGGAUGACAAUGAGCAGAAAUUUGAGCAAGUGAAUAAAUUUGUUGGCGGUACAACAAAUGAUGGUAUUUUCACACAAUCUGGUAUUUUUUCAGAAGUCAUGGUUUGGGAUCUGUCUUGUAGAUAUUGUAAAGGUACACACCUACAAAGAUUUUUUGUUAAGUAAGCUCGUUUCUGUUUCAAGCCAUAGAGGAAUAGGUUUGCUAUGAUGUAUCACUCCUUCGUCUUGUCUUGCACUGAAUAAUUUGUGAGAAUUAAGAAAAAGCAUUUAGCCCCAGCAUUUAGCAUUUAGCCUGGCUUACCUUGGGGUGCAGGUGAUGCUUCACAUGCAUUUCGAUUGCUUACAGGCAAGUCUAUCAGUAUGAGUCUAAGGCUCCAAGCAGCCGACUGGAAUGUAUAUUGCCAGAUAUGUUGAUUUACAGUCCUUUGGAUGUUGAUGACUUGCCCUAUCAUACAGGGCAGUGAUGUGAAGGUAUGAGAAAUGGUUGCUGCGUAAACAUUCUGUACCUCUGACAAUCAAAUCAGUCAGUACUCUGUUGCCCAUUGUGUUUUCACUGAAAAGGUUGUGUACAUAAAGUAGUCAGUGUGACCACUGAUAUUUACUGUGCAUUUUUAAAGAAAAACUUCUGGAGACAGAAUGUGUAUGCGUGUAAGGAGGUAAUGCACCACAUUUUUUGCCUUCCUCAGUUUUUAUUCAAAUCUUGCUGUUAUAUUUAUUGUUAUAUGAUAAAAACAAACAAACCAACAAAA